rnacentral:rRNA from 1 species
GGGCGUAAAGGGCGUGUAGGCGGUCUUUCAAGUCCGAUGCUAAAGACUGGGGCUCAACCCCAGGGGUGCGUUGGAUACUGUGAGGCUAGACGGUCGGAGGGGGUAGCGGAAUUUCCGGAGUAGCGGUGAAAUGCGCAGAUACCGGAAGGAACGCCAAUAGCGAAGGCAGCUACCUGGACGACUUGUGACGCUGAGGCGCGAAAGCGUGGGGAGCAAACCGGAUUGGAUACCCGGGUAGUCCACGCCCUAAACCAUGAGUGCUGGGUGUCCGGCUUCUGCUGGGUGCCGUAGCUAACGCGCUAAGCACUCCGCCUGGGAAGUACGCACGCAAGUGUGAAACUCAAAGGAAUUGACGGGGGCCCGCACAAGCGGUGGAGCAUGUGGUUUAAUUCGAAGCGACGCGAAGAACCUUACCAGGCCUUGACAUGCCCGGAACCCCUCUGAAAGGAGGGGGUGCCCGCAAGGGAGCCGGGACACAGGUGCUGCAUGGCCGUCGUCAGCUCGUGUCGUGAGAUGUUGGGUUAAGUCCCGCAACGAGCGCAACCCCUAUCCCUAGUUGCCAGCAGUUCGGCUGGGCACUCUAUGGAGACUGCCUGCGAAAGCAGGAGGAAGGCGGGGAUGACGUCUGGUCCGCAUGGCCCUUACGGCCUGGGCGACACACGUGCUACAAUGCCAAGGACAGAGCGCUGCUACCUCGCGAGAGGACGCCAAUCGCAAAAACCUUGGCUCAGUUCGGAUUGGAGUCUGCAACUCGACUCCAUGAAGCCGGAAUCGCUGUAAUCGCG